rnacentral:rRNA from 1 species
UUAAAUUAAAGUUAGUUUCCAUGUGUCAGCUCACAUGAUGUGGUUGGUUACUUGGUGCGUGGGACCGGACAUACUACCGCGCUAAGUAGUCACCUCUUCGAACACAACCUGAUGUCUUUUUCGGAGAGGAAAAGAGUAAGUGCUUUAGAGGUAGUAAGUUUUAGGCCCCGUUUGGGUCGGCCUAAAUUAGUAGGACUAGGGGAGGAGCAGGAGGGAGCGCCGCGCCCUCGACGGAUGCUCAGUUUGACUCUGGUGCUGCUGCUUGGCGACGCGGGGCUGCUGGCCGGUGCCGCGCGCGGCGGCGGCCCCGCGGGUGCGGUGGUACCCGCGGUGCGGGAAGCUGAAGCUAAAGCUGGUGUUCUCCACUCAGCCACGGCGGUCGUCGUCGUUUAGUUGGUUCGUUGUCUCGGUACGUGGCAGGUGGUUGGUCUCCCUUGGCUACCGCGGGCGGGCGGGCGAGGCGGCUGUAGCAGCACGGCGCGCGGUGCACGAGGCCUCGAGGGCGGAGGUGCGUUUUGCUCAAAAAAAACGGGGAAGGUAAGGGUGCUAUACGCGACUUAGGUAGAAGAAGAUAAGGGGAGAGACAGACGGAGCGCAGGCCCGUAGCCCCCCGCACCUCCCCACGUUAAUUGCCCGCCCGAGCGCGCGCCGAGGGGAGGGUAGAGUGGCGCUAGGGAAGCGGCAAGCACUAAGAAGCGGGGGGUGGGGCGGGUGCUGGGGGAGUUAAAGUAAAAAAAGGAGCGUAAAGAAGGGUACACGCGCCUAGAGCCCCGCGCCGGCCGGAUCCCAAAUACCGAAACCAGUUAGGUACCGCACGCGACGGGUCCAGCGGGACAGCGAAGAAGAAAUUACGCGCAACUAGGGGUACCUGCGGCUCAGGGCCAUUUCGGGUAUUUACGGUCGGGAGUAAAGGUAAAGAAACGGAGAAGGGAGAGGAGCAGCAGAAAAGAUCUAAACCAGGCCCAGUCCUAACCACAACCCCCAUUACGCCACCGGCCUCAACAGCAGAGACCCGUAACACCGACUACAACAACUCCAAACCGCGUCCCUGCAAAUACCGAAGCGCCACGCCGGCGUCGUAGACGUCGCAAAGGCGCUCAUACGGUUCUAAAUGUUCCUUCUCCUUCUACUCUCUUGUGUAUCUACCUUCCUGAAGAACCUGUCUAACCGACUAAGACGCCUAAACGGGUCGUGUGGGUCGUAAGUACGGCGACGACGCCCCCUACGACUUUCACGUCUUUUCUCGCAGUUUCUUCUCGUGGUACUUCGGCUUUUGUGUCUAUGGCUGUUUUUAAACCUUAUAAACUUCCUUCGACCGCCGUUGCUCCUUGAGUCUCUUCAUUUACCGCUCGGUCCUCUAUAAUUCCCACAGUGAUCGUUGAACCUUUUUGGUUUUCUCCUGUCGUCAUCGUCUCCCCGUCUAACACUACUUCUGCUUCCACUUCGUCUUCUCUCCUUGUAGUUUUAUCUUGCGCAUCUAGUUCAACUACUGUUACUACUUAGGUAUCUUCGUUUUCCGUUCGGUCUCCUAAAGUUGCUACAACGACCGUUGAGUCUUUUUGACUUUCUCCUCCGGUCACGUCUGACACAUUGUGGCUUGUUUCGGAGCCUUCUUAAGUUCCUUUAUUUACUCCCGAGACUUCUUUAUUUUCAAUAUUUACCCCCGAGCCUUCCUAAAUUUCUAGUUUUACCACCCAGUUUCCUUGACCCUCUUCACUUAUUACUGUUGAAGUUUUCCAAACUCCUCUAGGGGAAGCUAUUCCCCAACAACCUACUUAACCUCGGGUAUUUUCAGCUCAGAACCGCCGCCCACUCCCGUAGUGAGUCGUAGUAACUCUUUUACUACUCGAGAGCCCAGCAGUUUUCUUUACUAUGACGUUUACGGUAUAGACCUCUCCAACGCUGUGGCGAACGCAGUUAACUUCUUCUGUCCCGCCAUCUUCUUUGAGUACUUCCCUUAAGUCGUCUCCUCAGUAUACUACGUCUCUUCCACCUAGCCAGUGUCCUGCCCCGUGGACCACUAAGUUGCUCACAAUGUAACCUCCCUCUGUUACCUCCCAGAAUAAAAGGAACCUCCCUCCUUGACCUCUCGAACCAAGCACCUCCACACGGUUAGCGAGAAUCUCCUCUCUACACCGUUCGUAAACACCCACAACCACGAGCCUUUUAGUGACCCAUAAUGUUGUUUAACGAUCUACUUUCCUGGCUACAUAACCUACUUUUCCUGGAAUUCCUGGUUCACCACUUACUUGUCUUUUCAAGUGGUUUUUUCCUAGGGUUCGGACUCUUCACCUUUCCUGUCUAUCUCUUCCUAAACGGAGCUUGUAAAGGUCCUGUGGGACGUAAUCUACUCCUGCCCUCUUUACGGAACUCCGCCAAUAAUUGUCGUAUGCGUUCCGUAUUAGGUAGACAACCUAUGACGGUCCGGUACUUGAAAAAACGGCCCGAUAAAAAUAACAAGUACGGACUUCUCUUACGUAAGACCCGAGACCACCCCCAGUAACUGCUCAUGAAACUCCCAAUGAUGUGACUCCUUUACUAACUUAGUGUCCAACUGGUUGAACAAGAACUCCUGCAACAUGCUCUUUCCAAGGGUUUUAACCGGUUUGUAUGCCUAUAGAACCCUCAAGUCCACUGUACCCACUGACCUGGUACCAAAGAAAGUUAAAAGUAGUUGUACGAAGGUACCCUUUCACAAGAAGCACAAACCCUACACUAGGAGAAACUUCCUUUAGCAUGUUACAACAAGGCCUGUUGGGAACGAAACGACCUGAAUAUACCCGGACGGAACCACUGGUGUUUCCUACGACCUCUACGUUAAUGCAAUGACGUCAGAGAACGACCGAGAUGGAAACUGUCGUCGGUUGAACAUAACUGUCGAACAUACCCAAAAGUCAGUCAGUUUCUUUACCCUAACGCUCUCGAUUCUCUUUUCGUGUCCGGUCUCUAAUAUCGCCGAUACCUCCUUUCUAGUUUUCUGGCAUUUAGGACCUUUCUAUUCUUCCCCAAUCGUUGAUUUAAUAUAUCGAAAUUUGUACUGGGGAGUAGACACACGGGUGUUCAACUAAGGUUCCUUCCCCGUCUACCAAACGUUCACUUACCCCUGAGACCCAGUUGUUUGGACCCCUCGAUGGAAUGACCAAAUCGUAAUCUUUUACUCAACCUACUCCCGUAACUAGAAGUUCUAGUCCAUUGUACCGAUUUCCAACUCGACACGUUUGACGAACUCCUCUUUUCUAGUCGACUUGAGUCCCGGCUCCUCAAUCUUUGACGAAAUUACCUCUACCAGUGCGUUCUGUUAUCUGCAUGCGACUCACGAUGCCAACUCUUUAACCUCCGUCUCCAUAGACUUAAGGCUUUUAGAAAGCUUCUAUUCGUUCUUGUUCUUUUCCGUUACGAACUCUAAAACAAUUCUUACCUCGUCCUCGUCUUUCACUGUCUUCUACGGGCGUAUCGACGACUCGCUCUACGACGACUUGUUUUUAUACGACGAGUAAACUAGGUCCUCUUCAUACUUCGUCAGAACUAUCGUGAAAGUGUUUACCUCUUCUCUCGACACUACCGUCUUUGAUACAACCUUCGAUGUUUCGUCAUGGUCCGACCCGUCCAAUUUCGGUAGGUUUGCAAGCGGGGUUUCAGUGGCGUACGUCUGGAACCCUUCUAUUUAGUUCUUGGUUUAGUUCUAUGUGGAUUGUUCUUUAACCCGUAUGAAAGAUCCCCCGAACCUACCGAUCUCUUCUCGUUCGUCCCUUUCAGCUUAGGGCGACUUUGCUUACUUCCGAUUUGAGGACACCUUAGUCCAUCUUUUAGCAGCCACGGUCGUUCCUAGAACUAUAGGUACUCACUAACCCAACGGUCUAGCGGUCUUCUUAGGAAGCUUUGGUCGAUUAAAAACAGCCGUCCUUCUUAGUUCAAUACAAAGAGUACUUCAAAACGACUUUAACAUGAAACAUGGUAUAACCCAAGUUACCAGUCUACCUCAAUACAACCAUCCAGGUUUAGAAACGUUCCGUAGGAACAUUUAAAAGAAGAGGCUAAUCAAAGUAAUUCUAACAGUUAUAAAUCACAAUGCCAAUCCUCUUUCUUUUUUAUGUGUGCUUUGGGGGACACAACAAUCCAAUCAAAAACUCCUACAGUAUCCCAAUAUGACCCCUUCUCGUACAAAACAAAGAGAACACCUUUCUCAAAACGUUUUCGUGACAUUUCCUUUACUACAAGGUCACAGAAUAAACAAGAAAACUAUGGCAACCGAACGUUGUAUAAGAACCGUAUACAACGAAUCACAUUUUAUGUUUCAUAGACAACUAAUAACGGUCCUUACUAGUAAGUUAUAUACCGUAGAUAUAAACACAAGCAAA